rnacentral:rRNA from 1 species
UACGGAGGAUGCGAGCGUUAUCCGGAUUUAUUGGGUUUAAAGGGUGCGUAGGCGGGUUCUUAAGCGUGAGGUGAAAUGCCACGGCUCAACCGUGGAACUGCCUCGCGAACUGGGAGUCUGGAAUGCCCCUGCCGUGGGAGGAAUGUGUGGUGUAGCGGUGAAAUGCAUAGAGAUCACACAGAACACCGAUUGCGAAGGCAUCUCACGAAGGGGUGAUUGACGCUGAGGCACGAAAGCGUGGGGAUCAAAC